UACAGAGACUGCAAGCGUUAUUCGGAUUCACUGGGCGUAAAGGGUGCGCAGGUGGCCAAGUGUGUUAGGCGUGAAAGCCCGGGGCUUAACCCCGGAAUUGCACCUAAAACUACUUGGCUAGAGCAUUGGAGAGGGGAGCAGAAUUCAUGGUGUAGCAGUGAAAUGCGUAGAUAUCAUGAGGAAUACCAGAGGCGAAGGCGGCUCCCUGGACAAUUGCUGACACUCAGGCACGAAAGCGUGGGGGAGCAAAAGGGG
rnacentral:rRNA from 1 species